CCUCCUCCUCCUCCUCCUCCUCCUCCUCCUCUUCUUCUUCUACUCUGUGUGACGCAGCAAGGCGAGGAAGGAAGGAGGGAAGGAGGGAGGAAGAGGAAGAGGAGGGAU